GAUAUCAGGGUCAAAAGGUCAAAAAGUCGUUCGUGCUUGCACGAUAAGACUUUUGAUCUUGGGACCCGCCAAACAUGAGAAAGCAGCGAUUUACGCAGUAAAUCAGCGGAUUUCGAAUGUUUGAGAAUUGCGGGAGCUGCUUUGCAGCGGAGCAAUUCGUGGAUAUC
rnacentral:sRNA from 1 species